rnacentral:rRNA from 1 species
UUAGGAAAGAUUCUUCGGAUGAUUUCCUAUUUGACUGAGCGGCGGACGGGUGAGUAACGCGUGGGUAACCUGCCUCAUACAGGGGGAUAACAGUUGGAAACGGCUGAUAAUACCGCAUAAGCGCACAGUACCGCAUGGUACAGUGUGAAAAACUCCGGUGGUAUGAGAUGGACCCGCGUUGGAUUAGCUAGUUGGUGGGGUAACGGCCCACCAAGGCGACGAUCCAUAGCCGGCCUGAGAGGGUGAACGGCCACACUGGAACUGAGACACGGUCCAGACUCC